GGGAUUAGAGCUCAGUGGCAGAGCAAGUGCCUGGCAAGCACAAGGUCAUGAGUUUGAUCCCA
rnacentral:tRNA from 1 species